GACGAACGCUGGCGGCGUGCCUAAUACAUGCAAGUAGAACGCUGAAGAGAGGAGCUUGCUCUUCUUGGAUGAGUUGCGAACGGGUGAGUAACGCGUAGGUAACCUGCCUGGUAGCGGGGGAUAACUAUUGGAAACGAUAGCUAAUACCGAAUAAAAUGGAUUAUCGUAUGAUCAUCUAUUGAAAGGUGCAACUGCAUCACUACCAGAUGGACUUGCGUUGUAUUAGCUAGUUGGUGGGGUAACGGCUCACCAAGGCGACGGUCCAUAGCCGACCUGGGCGGUGGAAGGGCCACGCCGGGACGGGGACACGGCCCAGAAGCCGACGGGGGGCAGCAGUAGGGGAUCUUCGGCAAUGGACGGAAGUCUGACCGGGCAACGCCGCGUGAGUGAAGAAUGUUUUCGGAUCGUAAAGCUCUGUUGUAAGGGAAGAACGAGUGUGAGAGUGGAAAGUUCACAAUGUGACGGUAUCUUACCAGAAAGGGACGGCUAACUACGUG
rnacentral:rRNA from 1 species